rnacentral:rRNA from 1 species
UACGGAGGGUGCAAGCGUUAUCCGGAUUUAUUGGGUUUAAAGGGUACGCAGGCGGCAAAAUAAGUCAGUGGUGAAAGCCAGCAGCUCAACUGUUGAACUGCCAUUGAUACUACUUUGCUUGAGUGCAGUCGAGGUAGGUGGAAUUCCACAUGUAGCGGUGAAAUGUAUAGAUAUGUGGAGGAACGCCGAUAACGAAGGUAGCUUACUAGGCUGUUACUGACGCUGAGGUACGAAAGCGUGGGGAGCGAACGGG